GACGAACGCUGGCGGCGUGCUUAACACAUGCAAGUCGAACGAGGAUCCCCCGCUUGCGGGGGUGAUUAGUGGCGAACGGGUGAGUAAUACGUGAGUAACCUGCCCUUGACUCUGGGAUAAGCCUGGGAAACCGGGUCUAAUACUGGAUACUACUUCCUGCCGCAUGGUGGGGGGUGGUAAGGGUUUUACUGGUUUUGGAUGGGCUCACGGCCUUUCAGCUUGUUGGUGGGGUAAUGGCUCACCAAGGCGAUGACGGGUAGCCGGCCUGAGAGGGUGACCGGCCACACUGGGACUGAGACACGGCCCAGACUCCUACUGGAGGCAGCAGUGGGGAAUAUUGCACAAUGGGCGGAAGCCUGAUGCAGCGACGCCGCGUGGGGGAUGACGGCCUUCGGGUUGUAAACCUCUUUCAGCAGGGAAGAAGCCACAAGUGACGGUACCUGCAAAAGAAGCGCCGGCUAACUACGUG
rnacentral:rRNA from 1 species